rnacentral:lncRNA from 1 species
CUUUCCAGCUUGCAGAAGUCUCUUGAAAGAACUAGAGAACACUAAGGACCACACUCUCCUGCUGGAAAAGCGCCUGAAGAAGCUCUCUAGGGAGGGCAGCUCCCAUCACCUUCCACGCCAAGUCCGCCCAGGGCCAGUGUACAAACCAGCACCUGCUAGGAACCACCGGCCACGUGGGGGGCGUGGGAAAGCUUCUCCCACCAGCUUCCAUGUGUCCCCACGGGCUCCCCUGGCUCCUCUGGCCUCCAUGCCGUCAUCAGUCCCGAAGACCUCCAUAGAGUCCCUUGGGUCUCCAUCAUCCCUGAGCUCCUCCCAGGCAUCAGAGCCUCUGUGUCCCCUGAAGCACCCUUCACACCGGCCACCUGCGAGCACCCUAUCACCAAACCUGACCAGCUCCACAGAAUCCUUGGGGGAGACCCCACAUGCAGGCAGGCGGAGGCAGGGGUCCCGCUUUCCUCAGCCUGGAUGUGCCAACGCUGCUGGACGCACAAGACACCAAAAUCCCAGACACUCCCAUGGACACCGAAUAUCCGACAUCCACGAACAAUUGGGAAUCUCCUGAGGACAACUUGGAG